rnacentral:rRNA from 1 species
GAGCACGUAGGUGGGUUUGUAAGUCAGAUGUGAAAGCCUCCUGUUCAACGGGAGAAUUGCAUCUGAAACUACUGAUCUUGAGUGUAGGAGGGGAGAAUGGAACUUCUGGUGGAGCGGUGAAAUGCGUAGAUAUCAGAAGGAACGCCGGCGGCGAAAGCGGUUCUCUGGCCUAUUACUGACACUCAGUGUGCGAAAGCUAGGGGAGCAAACGGGAUUAGAUACCCCGGUAGUCCCAGCCGUAAACGAUGGGCACUAAGUAGAGGGGUUU